GUAAGUAUAUAUUUUUUUAAACCUCUUUUAGCCGAAUGUGUCUACGAAUAGAUAAUCUAUGAGCAGAAUCCCUGUUUACCUCAAUGAAUAACAAUUCUGUAAUUUGAAGGCAACAAUUUUCACUAAACUUUGUUUUUUAAAGUGCUAUCAUCAUAGAGUACUACAAACUCAACUUCCUUAUGCUAGCCACCUACAGUAGCAAUUCCAUUUCAGCUAAUAAGCUUCAGCCCCUCACCAUCAGAGUAACAACUAGCAAGAUGCAUAGUGAAAGAAAGCUGGCCCAGGACUGCCCUGCGAUAUCCAAUAAGGUCACAGGGAGAGCAAUGACGUAGCACACAUUUCUGCACAUAGUGACCUAGUACAGCCUUUGUAAGGACCCAUUUCAUUUCUAAAACGUUAAUCUCAGAACUACUGGCUGAAAUAAUACAAAUCUUUGAGAAUGUGUCUGUAUUGGGGGGCUUUCACACCAAAUGUUUUGCAGUAGUUGUUCAAUACACAAUGCACAUAGAAUACACAUAAAUCUGAUUUCAUUCAUACUGUGGUGUGGUUCGCUUCGGGUGAGAACACAAUCCACAACAGACAGAGGAAAACAAUCACAUGCUGGCAGCAUUAAAAUGCUGUGUCAGUUCACACUAUUCAAUACCAAAAUAGAAUUGUUUCUGCGGCCAAGGUAUGAACAUGAGAACAAAAAAUACUAUAAACCCCCCACCCUCAAAUGUGCAUCUUAAAGAGACUGUUUAAGAAUGACAUAUGGUGUAAUGCAAUAACUUGAGGGGAAUUAUCAAGCCAACCAGAAUAAGCUGGCUUAAAUAUAUGUAAUGAACUCCGGAUCUGUUCACCAUUCUGUGGUCAGGGUAAGCCCACCCCAAUUUAGCUCAGAUAAGCUGUUUUGUUAAUGAUAUGGCCAUAUGCAGCACUAAUAACUCUGAGAUUAGGAAGAUGCAAGAAUUCACUCUCAAUAAGUCAAACACAAUAUCUGCACAUUAGUUCAUGUUGUUACCAAAUGGUAUUCAGUAGAAUAAAAGUGCUAAGAAAUAGAUAAUUACUUAAUAAAUAGCCAUUGAAAUGCAUUAGAACUUAUGCAAAUAUGGUUAUUUGCUUAUGCAAAUAUGGUGUGUUUAUAGUGUUAUAGUGUAUAUUAUUUAAGCAACAUGAAAACAGACUGCACAUUUCUGGUGUUGGUAGAUUUUCUGGUAGUUGUCGCAGUGGAAGUGCAAGAAUAAUUAUUAAGUUUCUAAAGUUUUGCUCGGCUUUUGAAAGUAUUGGAUUUUGAGUUUAUUAAGUAAUUGAAAAUCCUGAAGUUUAAACAACUACUAAAAUCACAACUAGGAGUUUUCUUUGCACACAUUCCACAAAUAGAAAGACAAUGAAAGUUUAUGUCAAAGUAUAAUAAUGGCUAGUAUGCUAAUCCGUACAUAGUCAUGAGGAUGUGUUUAACAUCUCCAGCAAUCUUGUUCUAAACCAUAGGUCUACAGUUCAGUCUUAUUCUCUCCACCCUCCUGGGCAAACAGGGAACAGAGCUGCGGGCGUCUGCGUAGCGGCUAAAGUGUAGCAAGGCAUCCUCCUCCUCAGCCAUCCCCUCGGAGAUCUCCUCAGCCACAGUCUCCCUCUCCUCUUCAGUAACUCCAUCUCCCUGC
ensembl:lncRNA